AUGAACGCUGGCGGCGUGCUUAACACAUGCAAGUCGAACGAAGCACCUCUAAUCGAAGAUUGAGAAAGCUUGCUUUGAUGAUCACCUUGAGGUGACUGAGUGGCGGACGGGUGAGUAACGCGUGGGUAACCUACCCUAUACAGGGGGAUAACAGUUGGAAACGACUGCUAAUACCGCAUAAGCGCACAGGACCGCAUGGUCUAGUGUGAAAAAACUCCGGUGGUAUAGGAUGGACCCGCGUCUGAUUAGCUAGUUGGUGAGGUAACGGCUCACCAAGGCGACGAUCAGUAGCCGACCUGAGAGGGUGACCGGCCACAUUGGGACUGAGACACGGCCCAAACUCCUACGGGAGGCAGCAGUGGGGAAUAUUGCACAAUGGGCGAAAGCCUGAUGCAGCGACGCCGCGUGAACGAAGAAGUAUUUCGGUAUGUAAAGUUCUAUCAGCAGGGAAGAAAAAUGACGGUACCUGACUAAGAAGCUCCGGCUAAAUACGUGCCAGCAGCCGC
rnacentral:rRNA from 1 species